rnacentral:lncRNA from 1 species
UCUGAGGACAAAGCACUUGGCUUCUCCUUAAAGCACAAGCGCUUUUGUUCUAACUUCUAUCUUUCCUACAAAUAAUAUCGGGUGAUCACAACCUCCCUUUUCAUCAAAAAAGGAAAAAAAUUAACAUCAGGGGAUAAGUCAUGGUCUCCUGCAUCAUGAUCAUAUAUCGAAAAUACUUAGACUCGAUUCUAGUUGUAAUG